rnacentral:rRNA from 1 species
AACGAACGUUGGCGGCAUGCCUAACACAUGCAAGUCGAACGAGACCUUCGGGUCUAGUGGCGCACGGGUGCGUAACGCGUGGGAACCUGCCCUUAGGUUCGGAAUAACUCCCCGAAAGGGGUGCUAAUACCGGAUAAUGUCUUCGGACCAAAGAUUUAUCGCCUUUGGAUGGGCCCGCGUUGGAUUAGCUAGUUGGUAGGGUACAAGCCUACCAAGGCGACGAUCCAUAGCUGGUCUGAGAGGAUGAUCAGCCACACUGGGACUGAGACACGGCCCAGACUCCUACGGAGGGCAGCAGUGGAGAAUAUUAGACGAUGAGCGAAAGCCUGAUCCAGCAAUGCGGCGUGAGUGAGGAAGGCCUUAGGGUUGUAAAGCUCUUUUACCCGGGAUGAUAAUGACAGUACCGGGAGAAUAAGCUCCGGCUAACUCCGUG